UUCAAAUAUAUUAACAUUAUAAUAUACAUAAUAGACAUGUUUAAUUAUAUAUUUUCAACGAUAUUUUCAAUAAAAUUUAAUUCCAUGGACUUUAUUAAAAUUUUUUAAUAACAUAAAUGAAAAAAAUAAUAAAAUAUUAUGUCUCAUUAUUGUCUCUUGAAGGUAUAAAUGUAAUUUCAAUAUAUUUUAAGAGCAAGUAUAGACAAGAGCAACAUAUAACGUAAAAACAGAAAUUGGAUAAAAAUCGAAGAAUUAGUGUUAUUUCUAUAUUGUUAUAAAUUAAACAAAUAUAAAAAACGGAAAAAAAAUAACGAAAGAAAAAUACAGAAUAAGAAUUGACUAUUAAUGCUAUCUCUUGAAUAUUAAAAAUAUUUUUUCAAAGAUAAAAUAGAAUUAAAAUUAAUUUUGUGCCAUCUCUUGAAUAUCAAAAUUAUCAAAAGUUCUAUUUUAAAUAUUUUUGAUGCUCAAGAGAUGGCGCUGACGGUUCUAUUUCAAUUUCUAUUUCUAUUCGUUUCCUACUAUUUGCUUUUCUUGUUUAUAUUAAUUUCACGGUAUUCUAAAAAUGGCGCUGAUUUUAUAAUUUUUUAUCUGUUUCUAUCUUUUUUUUAUUAUUUGUCUAUAUUUACACUAGUGUAUUACAAAAGAUAUUUACGGUUUUACAAUAUCUUUCAAUAUUAUAAUAUCUCGGAUAACGAUCUCAUAAAAUAACUAUAUUUCAACAUAAUACGUAAUAUAUUAUAACAUAAAACGAAUAUUUGACAUAAUAUUAAGAGAAAUACUAAAAUGUUCAGGAAAUUUUGAUAUUCUUGGAUAGAGAUAUAUAGGAUAAAAAUUAUAUGAAAUAGUAAAUCUAUUUUAUAUAUCAUCUAUGCUUAAAUAAAUUUUAUUUCUAAUCAAUUUAUAUUUAAUUUUAUAAUUUCUCCCGUUGUUAAUAACUGAAAUAAACAAAUAUAGUACUAAUUAUAGAAAUAAAAAAUAUAUAAAUAUACAAUGUACAUACAAUACACAAAAAUAUAAAAACAUGUGAAAUAUGUAUGCGAAUAGUGAAAUUUAAAAUAUAUAUAUAAUUCAUGAAAUGAUUCAUUUAUCUGAUAUUCAUAUUCAUAUUUAUUCAUCUUUACUUAAUUUAUAUUUAAAUUUAUUAAAUGUCGAACUUCGAAAUAAAAAAUUAUUUAAAAUACAAAUUUAGUAAUAUAUUCAUUGUAUUGCAAAAAAUUAUUUAUUGUAAAUAUUUUUUAUAUAAUACAUAAAUUCAUCAUACAAUAAUAACCUUUUAUUAAUAUUGCUAUUUAUAUAAUAUAUAUAAUAUUAUUAAAUCAAUAU